rnacentral:piRNA from 1 species
AAAAGUCCAAUUGAGUUCCUGGA